rnacentral:tRNA from 1 species
ACCUGGGUGGCUCAGUCGGUUGAGCGUCCGACUUCGGCUCAGGUCACGAUCUCACGGUUUGUGGGUUCGAGCCCCACAUCGGGCU